AGUUUAUGAUGCUGAUACCUCCUCAAGAGGUCCUUGAUCCUCUCCCAUGUCUCAAACAAUGAUUCGGCAUCCAUUUGAGUAAAUGAAGUGAUCUCUUACCUAAGCUU